GAUGGAGUGCGAUAGGCGAUCCUAUACUAACUCCUAAGCUUUCGGUUCGUGCUCGCGCGCCAGUAACUCUCUCGUCGGCGGUAGGUUUUGCCAUUGGGUUUCUUCCCACGGAAGGUUUCUAAUGAAAGGCGAUGGGUUUGUCGUUCCGGAGGUUCACUCCCUCCGCCGCAUCGGCGUCGAGUCGAGCCCUGGCCUGUGAGCAGCACGCCAUUGAUGAAUACUAUGAUGAAAAAAGGGACAUCAAAGAGUGGUAAAGAGGGGCUAGAGAUCCACAAAUUGGGGUUCGCAGAAUAUUGUGUCUCAACUUUCUAAAAGGGGAUGCAGGCAGGUAUCAGGUGCUAUUGUUUGAACUGUCAAUUCAUUCUAAUGUUUAGGGUUUAACUCAAUUUUGCCUUUUGGAACAUAAUUAUCUAGGAAAUUGUAAUAUGUCAUCAUAACCUAUUUGGCUGAUCAGGUUUUGUGAGAAGUCCUCGCGUUGCUGAGUUGUCUCGAAGUAACUCAAGUCUGGCGGAUGAAGUCUUAAUUAGCUAAGAGCAGAAAAAAAGGUUUUUGGACUUCAAUUAUCAAGUAGACGUCAAGUAUUCUUAGGUUUAUAAAGACUAAUUUAUGACCCUUACUUUUUUGUCCUAUAUUAGACACUUUUGGAUAUAGACAUAUUCUCAAAGCUAUUUUCUUUAAGAAUGUGAAGAUUAAGUACAUUAUACAAUUAGGAAAAUAAGAUUUUUAUUUUGCAUCAUGUAUGGGCGCAUACCUUUUUGCCAUCCCUCAAGCUUUAAAUUUGUCACUAGAACAUUUAGAGAUUUUUCAAUUGUAAACGACCAUUUGCUUCUACCAAUAAUUUUUCUCAAAGGAAGAUGACUAGUUUCCAUGUAUAAUUGGUGUGCAAUGUUGUCAUUUCUUCUAUCAGGUGAUAUAAGUAUCAUUCAUGUAGCAGUAGGGAUGUCAAGGUUAGAUGUAGGAUCCAAGAUCUUGGAGGGUUCUAGUAGGGUGGGACAACAGAGUCCUGAUGAGUGAUUGUAAUUGGCUCAUAUUGUAGAUUUCUACUAAGGUUUGCAUUGACUAACUUUCUGGUGUCAUUCGUUUUUUCCACUAGUCAUUGUCAAAUAACUAAUUUAUCUUGGCAGCUCUACUUUGUUUUUAUGUAAACUUUGUGUUAAUGAAGUUGUAUUCAUUACCAAUAAAUGUUGCGCGUUAUUUAGUCUACAUUUGCUUCUAAAUCCUAGAUCUUAAUGUUUCAUUUCAGUUAUUGCUUCUCUUAAUAUUUUUGAAUGCUUUAUUAUUUCAGAUAUCUCGAAGUUGUUGGUCAAAUAGUUACACGUGUUCCUGCACAACUAUGGUUAAUAUUUUCCAUCAGAUAUUCGUGUAGGACUAGGAUUAGUUGAUGCAAGAUGCAUUACUGAGUUUUUUUAGUUCUUAAAGAAUUGAUUGUAAUUUUUCAUCACGGAUAGGUUUUUGUUGUUUUCUUAUCCAGCUCUUGUUUUGGUUGUGUGCAUAUCUAGUUUCCUUGGUGAUCUCGUACACAUGCAACAAUGCUUGGGUCCAAAAGUUAAGCUUUCCUGUCUCAUCUGCUACAUUGGUGAAUUGCUUAUGUUAGUUGUGUUUUGCAGUUUUACCACUGGAGCUUGAUUAUAGACUCAAAAACCAUUUGCUCUUCUCAAGAAAUUUAAAUAGAGUAUGGUACUCUUAAACUGCAUAUGCGCCACCAUGAAGUUGAGCUGUAUGUUCCCUCCUCCAAUUCUCUUGAUGUUAACCGAGUUACUAUAUUGCAGUAUUGUUUUAUCAUUACAUGGUGUACUCUUGUAUUAGUUUCCAUUUCAAGCCCAAAACAUGUCUGGUUGUUGAGAACAAUGUCAGUUGAUGAAAGUGGCAAAGUUGUAAACUUUGACUACAAUAAACGGUAUGUUGGAUCAUGUUCUGUAGGAGCUGCCGCUAUUAUUUUAUUCUACAAGUAAGCAAUUUUGUUGUUGAUUCACCAACAAUCAAGUUGCGCAUUUUGCUGGUCUGGGAUACAAUGCUGCUACCUGUAUUCUUUAUUAACGAUGGAAUUCAAAAUUGCAGCUUCCAAUAUAUACCAUUAAAGUAGCAUGUGGGGGUAACCACCAUCUGUUACCAAGCUAUUGCUACAGUUCAUUUGUGGUUUUACCACUGGAGCUUGAUUAUAGACUCAAAAACCAUUUGCUCUUCUCAAGAAAUUUAAAUAGAGUAUGGUACUCUUAAACUGCAUAUGCGCCACCAUGAAGUUGAGCUGUAUGUUCCCUCCUCCAAUUCUCUUGAUGUUAACCGAGUUACUAUAUUGCAGUAUUGUUUUAUCAUUACAUGGUGUACUCUUGUAUUAGUUUCCAUUUCAAGCCCAAAACAUGUCUGGUUGUUGAGAACAAUGUCAGUUGAUGAAAGUGGCAAAGUUGUAAACUUUGACUACAAUAAACGGUAUGUUGGAUCAUGUUCUGUAGGAGCUGCCGCUAUUAUUUUAUUCUACAAGUAAGCAAUUUUGUUGUUGAUUCACCAACAAUCAAGUUGCGCAUUUUGCUGGUCUGGGAUACAAUGCUGCUACCUGUAUUCUUUAUUAACGAUGGAAUUCAAAAUUGCAGCUUCCAAUAUAUACCAUUAAAGUAGCAUGUGGGGGUAACCACCAUCUGUUACCAAGCUAUUGCUACAGAUCAUUUGUGGGGACGGAAAUGCAUUUGUACAAGCUCAGCUCAACAGGGAAUCUACCAACCAAGAUCCAAGCAACUUCUCUCAGGCACUUGGUCCAUAAGCCACUCAUGACCAGCUCUGCAUGACAUCUUGCUCCACUCUGCUCCGGAAGCCACAACACUCGGAAUGAUUUCCAAUUUGUCUGUGCGAGAGAGGCACAAUCUCAAGUCCCGGAGCAGCUCAAGAUCUGCCUCGGAUAGAACGGUAAUGCAAUGUGGCCCCUUCAUGUCGGCUCUUGCAAGAAAGACAACCACUAAUGGAGAUUGUACUCAUCGAACUAUUAAAUCAGUUGAAGCAUUGGAUCUAAUCCCAAUCUUCAGGGAUGUCGACUGACAGCGACUCUAAUCACUGCAGGUUUAAGAUAAUGCGAGCUAAUCAUGCAUGCACUACUAUAUAUAUAAUCACCUGUGUUAUUUUAAUCGCAGAAGAAUCUAAUCAUAGGAUUAAGUUAAGGACUGAGGCAACGAAGGUUUGCCGCGUCGUUAUAAUUAUAUUUUAAGCCCUGUUGCAUGCAGAUGACUAAAGCUACAGACAGCUACAAGAGACGUGAAGCGAGGAGGAUUGAGGAAGAAGAAACGAAACAAGAAUCUGAAGGCCAAUUCGAGCUUAAGGGAUGCGGCCAGAACAUUGAACUUUGGGCAAGUUUUAUCCAGGGAGGAAGCAUCUGCAAGCUUGCGACGUCAAGUAAAAGAGAAAGAAAACAAGAGGAAAAGGAGCUGUCCACUGCCUCAUUCUGUGGAUUGGGUGCACUGAUUUAGCUUAAAGUAUACAACGGUGGUGAUUCCCAGUGGGACCUCCAAAACAUUCUCUCAAUCGUCUCCCCCAUACUCGUUGAUUGCUUAUGUGAGUUUAGUCCACAUUCUCUCAAUUAUCUCCCCCAUACUUGUUGAUUGCUUAUGUGAGUUUAGUCCUCUCAUCAAACAAUUUCACAUCAGUGCCAAUGAGGUCACUGGACAGCAGACAGAUCAAAAAAAAAAAAAAAAAAAAAAGCGAGAUCAUACCUUUUCCAUGUUGAUCCUAGGAAAUGGUUUCACAGAGAUGAUGAUAACAUUCUUAAAGAUGUAAUGUAUGCCCCUCUCCUUAGUGGCUCCAUCCAAGCCAGCAUAAUCUGUCUCUGCCAUGGGUGGGUGGGAGUAGAGAUGCCCCAGAAAGAGGCAGCUUGUGCCACUAUUAUCUCAUGAACAUGAGAACCAGGGCAUCUUCAGACUGCUGGUGGAACUCACCACUCAACAUAAAUGAGUACUUUGAGAAAAAUGCACGAGAAAGCAAGUGGUCCCUAAAGUCAUCCUAUUCCUUGCGAAAACAAUAGGUUUAGCUGGACGAUAAGCAUACACAUCCAAUUCCAUACUUCGUGAUCCCAUGAGCAUCAUGCUUUCUCCUUUUUCUGCCCCUUUAUCUUAUUGGAUUUCUUGAGUUUGGAUGAGCUGAUGGUAGGCAACAUCGCGAGAAGAUGUCACUGUUUUCGUGGUGUUGGAGCUAGAGGAUAUUUUUUGGGAAGGAAGAUGCACAGAGACAUGGUUGCAUUAGCAUUUUCAGCAAUCAAGUAGACUAAUGAUCAUCAUUAUUAUUUCAUGGUAAAUAAAAAAUAUGUGAUAUGGAUCUUCUACACAAUA